ACGUCUCCCAGCUCCGGCUGUUGCUGAUGCUGCUGCUGCUCUCCAAGUUAAAGGGAAAUCCACCCCAGCUCAGCUCCUGGUCCCCUAACGGUCAGUUCAGAGCCAAUCUGAGCCCAAAGAUGGCAUGCUUCCUUCCUGUGCCCUGUCCCCUGGCAACAGAAACCCUGCAUGGUUCUGAAAAGAGGACAUGAGCCUGGGAAACUCUUUUUAGGAGAGCGGACGGGAGGCUCAAAGCACAGCGGGAACGGAAUGUGCAAAACGGAGGAUUCCCGCUCCAUAACCGGAUGCUACGUGCUCCCACUACACUGAUGCAAAUUACCUUCCUGUCCGGUGACUAACCGUGCCUAACAGUAGCCAUUAUUCUUUUCCACUCUGCAUGUUUGGAACAGGCAACAAACAUGUGCAGCAGCUCUAUGAAAGGUGAAAAAUAUAAUUAGUUUCCUUCCUUCAUCUUUUGCAUUGUUACCAUUUAGCUUUGUUGUAGCUAAAAGUAUUUGAGUGUACUGAUAUCUGUAAAGUAAUGUGCAAAUUGUGAUAAAAGCAUUAAAGUAAUUUUUGAGGUAUUUUUUCUAAUGGUUAGAAAAUGUCUUAUAAACUAAUACUUAGCAGCUGUUGUAUCUUACAAAAGUAAUCAUACCCUUUAAAUCUUUCAUUCCUGAGGUUGUGACUUUUUUUUAAACAAUAAAAUGCUAGCAUAAUGUUUUACUUUUACCAGAUUUAAUUUUUGUCAGAUAUGAAUGGAGCUUGUAUGUUAUAGAUGGAGACAUGUAUUUGUUAUGUAGGUAAUUUUAUUUAUUUUAGAUUUGUGCUUUGUGCAUUUUUUAAUUUUUGGAGUCUUUUCUGCAGCCUUCAGCAGGCUUUCUCUGCAUUUGGUUCCUUAUUUUUUCCCACCAGCUCCCCUGUUUCUUCUUAGGAAACACCACAGCAUAAUGCUGCCACCACUGUACUUCACAGUGGAGAUGCUGUAUUUAAGUUAAUACACAAUUAUUGUGGAGCAGACAGCUAAUAGUAAACCAGUGCAACCAAUUGGCUACACUGUAUUGUAUUUAGUAGUAUCAGAGUAAAUGGGCUGAAUACAAAGGCCUCAAAGACUUCCAGUUGAACUGCAACAAAAUGUGUCAAACUUUUCAGAUUUUCAGACUUUUCAUCCUAAAUAUCAAUUAAAUACAUUAGUGCUUGUGGCUGUGAAAAAUGUUGCAGGGAAAUAAAUACUUAGGAAAGGCACUACAUUAAAAAAAAAGUCCCCUCAAAUGAAUGAGCAACAACUUCGCUACUAACAUGGGUGACAAACGGUGACGGUCAACAAUAAGAAGGCACAACUUUACUGACCUAUUGUCAUGUAAGAGAAACAGAAAAACUGGUUUCUGAGCUGCUUUCACACAACAACACUGUGGACAGUAACACUGUCUUAUCUUAGCUGGAAACUACAUACCACUCAUAAAGGGUUGGAUACAAAUUUACACCACACUUUUAAGAUUUUUAGUUGUAAGGUCACUACUUUUACUUUUUUUUUCUUAUAGCUAAUCAUAGUCCUUCAUCCAUUGCAAGUUAUCCUAACAAGUAUUAGAUGUUAAACUUUAUUUGUGCACUUUUUGCAACUUCUCCAGUGUUUAAAAGCCUUUUCUUCACACUGACAGAUGUUUUAAGGUAUGUUUUUAUGGCUCAAAUUUACAAAGAGCAUGCUCUAGAUCUUGUUUUUUUUUUUUCUUUCAUAAUAUCAAGUCUCUCUACACAUCUCCUUCAUAAAGAACAUUGUUUUAUUAAGGAAAGUGCUGAAAAUCAUUUGCAAAUUAUUUGUGCAACAUUCCUGGAAGUUUGGGCAUGCAUUAUAAACUCUUUAUGUGCUUUUAAAUAUGCUGCAGAAACUUAAAUUGCUUUAUGACACAUGACAGAGAAUGAUUCUGAAUCCACCACAGCCUUUACUGGUUUUUACUACCAUUCUCUAGUAUUUACUAAGGAUUAAUAAUUAUCCACAUAACAGUUAAAGCAAAAUCAAGGAAUCUGCUGGAUCAGCUGAAGGAUUAGGAAUAAACUUCAACUGAGCAGCUGUAGCAUUAGCUUCUCAGGUCUUUUUUUUUUAACUCACAGUUUGCAUUGACACCACAGUGUCCUGUCAAAGUAUAAAGCAGUAUUGAAUUAAAACAUUUUCACAUUUUGUUUCUUAACCAUGAUCAUUAGUGUAUUUCACUGGGAUUCUGCAUGACUGGUUAAUAAAAAGUAAUGCAUAAUAGUGCAAGUUUUGCAAUAGAUCAUCAACUGAAUUUUUGUCUGGUCCCAUUCUAAUGCUAAGUGAUCUAAACUAUACCAUUUUUCCUCUUGCUGUACAUUUAGGGUCAACGCCUGUCAAACACUCCAAUUAUGGGCUGAAACAAACACUAAAGAUGGAUGAAUUCAUUGGAAAGAAUGUACUGAAGUAAAUUCAUCAUGCUAGAGCAAAGUGUUCAUCUAAAGCUGAGCCCUGCAAACACAAACAGAGCUGCACCUCAUGU